AACAUGCCAAGCAACACCUUAUUCUAAGAUUUGGACAAUCGUGCACUGCAUCAUUGAAAAGUUCAAAGAUGGGUUCGAAAACUGCUUUAGUUGCAGCUCUUGUUCUUUUGGUGGUAUUUGUGAGUAUGUUUGAUUUAGUGGAAAUGCGCUGGCCAAGCGGAUGUAGCAAUCGAAUUUGCUGGAAUGACUGGGAUUGCAAACACGACCAUCCAGGUUGCCACUGUUGUAAAGUUAAAGGUGUCCCAUGGGGACGUUGUAAUUGGUAGUAACAUCGGGGAAGAGGCAACAUAGCUGCAUACGGAUAUUUUUGGAAAUAAAUGCAGGCUUUUAAACAAUUA